GUGGGGAAUUUUGGACAAUGGGCGCAAGCCUGAUCCAGCAAUGCCGCGUGCAGGAAGAAGGCCUUCGGGUUGUAAACUGCUUUUGUACGGAACGAAACGGUCCUGGUUAAUACCCGGGGCUAAUGACGGUACCGUAAGAAUAAGCACCGGCUAACUACGUGCCAGCAGCCGCGGUAAUACGUAGGGUGCCAGCGUUAAUCGGAAUUACUGGGCGUAAAGCGUGCGCAGGCGGUGCUGUAAGACAGGCGUGAAAUCCCCGGGCUUAACCUGGGAAUUGCGCUUGUGACUGCAGUGCUGGAGUGCGGCAGAGGGGGAUGGAAUUCCGCGUGUAGCAGUGAAAUGCGUAGAUAUGCGGAGGAACACCGAUGGCGAAGGCAAUCCCCUGGGCCUACACUGACGCUCAUGCACGAAAGCGUGGGGAACAAACAGGAUUAGAUACCCCGGUAGUCC
rnacentral:rRNA from 1 species